CUUUUGUUGAUCUGAACGAGCUGGUAAUUUACAAAAUACCCUUCUUUUGUGAGGAAGGCUACAGAAAAAAUGAAUCAGUAGCUUUUAAAGCUGGGCCUUGGUGGGACUCUAAAUGCAGUGAAAGCAGUCUGUGUUGCGAGAUUGAAAUGCAUUUCAAAGCCAGGCCUGAGUCAGGGUACAAGGAAGAACAAACCUAUGGGCAUUUUAUAGGAAGAAAAAUGUGAAUGGAAAGGGAAAGAGAGAGAGAGAGGGAAAAAUGUGGAUAAUACAUUAAUCAUUAUUUUGGAGAUUCGGUCUUCCUUACUGACAUACCCUGUGUAACUAGUGAUAUAGAACUUGGAUUUUUGGUCUAUUCACGGUGUCCCAACAUUUUGAGUCUUUCACUGUUUUAAAGUUUGGGAGUCAUGGAUCCUUGAAGACUGCUGGACUAUAUUUAAAUAUAUAUAUAUUUUUUCAGCUUUACUUUUUUACCUUGCCUGUGGAAUAUUUUGAGAAAAAGAACUUGCAGAAAAUCUAGAGCUUCUCUUCAGUAUAUUAAUAUUUAUUAUUUUAUUGUAUUUCUGUCUACCAGAUUUCCUAGUGGUUACUGUUUCCCAUUGUCUCAAAACCAAAGGACAAAGUGGACAUCUAACGAAUAAUUUCAAGGCACUUCACAGAGGAGGUAAAUUGCAUUAUUCCUGUUCAACAGAUGAAGAAACUGAGGCACAGGAAGGUGAACCACUUGUUCAAGGUGACGCAGAAGGCAAGUGGCAGAGGGUUUCUCAUUUUCCUCUGACAUAAUUGUACCAUGAGAAUCAUAGAAAACUUCAAAUACAAUGGUGGAAAGCGCAAGGUGUAUCAAAAAAGGGACUGCAGUUAAAAGCUAGGGCUAGGAUUUGGAGGAUGUGUAGGCAAACGGAAGGAGAGCCGGGGGAAGAAAAACCGAAAUGGAUUCGUUCUCUGUCCUGGAUGGAGAAGGAUAAGAGAAGAGAAGGGGACGUGAAAGCUUCCUUCAACUGCCUGUGUCCGGUGAAAAGUGAUCAACCCCCCGGGGCUGAAUAGAACUCAAGAGUCCACGCGGACUUUCGCUGUAUCCUGCCAAUCAAACUGCUUACUAGACAACACCCUGAUCUGGCAUGGACAUCCUACAGGUUCCAUUGUGAUGGGGACAAACAUAAAAUAAAGAUACGAUCAAAUACUGUGGCCUGACCAAAGAGAAGUUUAUCGUUCCUCUGAGCGAGCUUCCUAAUAUGAAGUUAAAACCCUUCAUAUCUGUACACACUAGAGUCCAAAGGAUAUCCUGAUGUUGAAGAAACCUCUUCAGCUUUACACCCAGUGCCUUAUCGCCAUCAGAGGUGGAAGGGGACAGUUAAAUGAGUGUGUAACAGCUGUAGAGCAACAAUUUGAAUAUUAAUAUUUUAUUUUCUUCAAACAACAACAAAAAAAAGAUACUUCAAAACCAGUAAGAAGGAUAAGCUUGGAGCGCCCAGUCACCGUGGUAACUGCCAGAAAAAUUCUCCUGAAGUUUGAAGAGGUCAGCUAACAGGGUCAACAACUCUGGCCUCUUUCUGAGCUGGGCCUGGCAGGCCCCAUCCUGCAGUUGGAGUGGUAGGCCAGGCCUAGCCCUGGGAGGUGGGCCAUUCCAGCUCUGAUAUAAAUUUUUUGAGUCAGUUCACGGCCUGGACUCUCCAGGUGGUCUCCAAAAUCGAUUGUGACCUUCUGACCCUGUCUAACGGAGGCAUAGCAUCCAACCUAAGUAAGGAUUUAGCCAGGAAUGACAGCUUUCCACUGAGUGUUAUUGGGGACAGUACAAACACUUUUGGAAGCAAGGAGGGCUACAGCAAAAACAACUUAAUGACAUGAGAAGGCCCACUGACUUCAGAGGGACUCCUUGUGGGAACAAGACUGGCAGAAUCUGGCUCAUACUCUGCAAUGAGGACUAGUGCCUUUGCUUGGUUUACAGAAAACAUAUUUAAAAAUGAGAGUUAUGAGCAGUCAAAUGAUUUUUAGCAGAGCUUACUAUAUCCUCAUCUCCUUUGUGGCAUGAUUCUACAUUUUCCCCGUCCCGCCUAACAAGCACAUCGGUCUGCAUGAUGGAGAAUGUAAGUAUUUCCCUGGGACACAGAUCAAAAUUCUCCCAUCCCCUGCCCCAGCCUUACCAUCAAGAACAGGCAAAAAUAAUUGGCACAGGAAAUAAAUGAGUGAAUACCAAGAUCUUUGGUUCUCUGCAAUUUUACUUGCAUUUUAGAAUAACCUGAAAAAUUGGAUAUUUCCUUAAAACAAAAUCGAGCUGGGGCCUGAUUAUCGUCUGUCUGUUCACGUCAUGCAGUCAUGUGCACCUGAGCAAAGUGGAUAUAAAAUGCACAGAUACAAAUGAAAACACAGGAAGUGGAGAAAAUAGCCCUUUAUCUUUUUCCAUAGUGAAGAUUCAGCCAUCAUGCAUACAAAUAAUAGAUAGUCUCCAACCAAAUAUUAGCAGCAGCAAAGGUGAGAAUUUCUAACCUCCUUCAUGCCAUUUACUUCAGUGCGAUGUGAACUUCAAAACACAAUGGAUCCAUUGCAAUAGUUUAUUAAGUAUAGGCUAUUCCUUUACACUUUAUUUAAUUAAAAAAGCAAGGGAAUUAUAUACACAAACAGGCUUAAUGAAAAGUUAAGGAUGAACAGUCAAAAACACCAAGAGAGACAAGGAGGGGGAGGUAAUAUCUUUUAUUGGACCAACUUCCGUCGGUGAAAGAGACAAGGUUUUGACCUGCAGAAGAGGUCUAUGUAGUUCAAAAGCUUGUCUCUUUCACCAAGAGAAGUGGGUCUAGGAAAAUAUAUUCCUUCACCCACCUUGUGUGUCUACUAUCCAGGGACCAACACAGCUAUAGAAACACUGCAAAAUCACCAGGGGCAGGAUUGUGGCAUUUAACCAUAGCAUUUAGUAUGGGCUGGUAAAGAGCUGCACUGCCCUGGGGGAACCACUAGAGGCAGCAUGUCUCCCAGAGAUGGCUGCGCUCAGGGAAGCAUCAUGGAAGGGGUGCCACAGUGUCUUCUCCGCACUCCCCCUAUAUCUUUGGCGCAUGGCUGGCCAGCUUUGCUGACUGGCAUGUAGGGGGUAGGCAGAGCCACGGUGCCCCACCUACUCCCUGCCCUUCCCCACCUCAUUUUGGGUUGGCUCUAGCAUGGGUUAUAUCAGGUAGUGGCAGCCUCCACACAGGAGCUACAGUUCAGGCUGGCCCUUCUGCAGGUGCCCCGAAUAGUGGGAGGUUCGGUACUCCUCCCUACCCACUGUGCUACAUUUAAGAGCCUGCUACCAUCUAGCCCAGAGUCAGGAAACACAGAAGUUAAGGUUCCAACAAGCAACAUUAACUUGGCUAUGUCUCACAUUGGAAGUAUUUUCUAUUUCUGGUUGUGGUUAGAUGUGCAAUUUAAUGUUCUGUUUAUGUUGUCAAAGGUAUACCAUGGAGUAGCCACUGUGUACAACCUAACCCACUGACACGGCCCUUGAAACUUUAACUUCUGUUUUUCUUGAUGGUUUGUGAUUUAGCUGUGUAUCCUGAUGGUGCAUAACCUAGUUUAUUGCAUAUAAGAUUAUAAAGGAUGUGUUACCCUCUGCAACUAGUUGGAGAGUUUCAGUCAGAGAGGUUUCAGAGUAGCAGCUGUGUUAGUCUGUAUCCGCAAAAAGAAAAGGAGGACUUGUGGCACCUUAGAGACUAACAAAUUUAUUUGACCAUAAGCAUCCGAUGAAGUGAAUCAGAGAGGGCAUGUCAUAUAAUCUUAGCCCUCAUUUGAAUUAUAGCCAUUAUACACACACUUUCUAAUGCAAAGCUUCGUGUGCUGUUUCACCAUUAUGUUAAAUCCGGAUCAGGAAACAAACUUUACAAUCCCCAUUAUAAUGUAACACAAGUAAAUUAUGCCUUGGGCAUAUACAAUGGAAGUAUAGAUUAUUUUAGAUAUAUAAAAGUUCUACUUAAGUUGAGGUUAGUGGUUUAAUUACAGGAUUUUUUUUUUUUAAAAUUGCUGUUAAUAAAGACGGCCAGUGUUCCCCCCCCCCCUUUGAUUUACCUCCAGAUCAACCAUACUGAGUACCCCUUUUCUGGCAUUCACAGCAACAUGGGUGGGUUGGCAGGAUCUUAUAGGCAUUUCCGUCUUCCCAGCACUGAUAUUUUUUCCUGGAUUGUAGCACCAACUCCACAGUGUGCCAUUGUUUGGAAUCUUUCAGUGACUCUUCUUCUCCCAACCUGAAACCUGCCCCAGACCCAUAUUUCUUCAUUACAGUUUUUCAAAACAAUUAUAGAAACACUGAUUGCAGUAAGAGGCAGUGUGAGCCAGUGAUUAGAUCAGAUGGUGGAGAGUCAAGAGAAAUGGGUGGUGUUCCACAUUCUGCCUCUGAUUUCCUGUUUCACCUUGGGUUUGGCCUUGGGCAAGUUACUUAACUGCUCCGUGACUCAGUUUCCCUAUCUGUAAAAUGGGAAUAAUAAUGCUCACCUGUAUAAAGUGCUUUGAGAUCAUUGAAUAAAAGGUGCUGUGUAAGAGGAAACUCAUUCUAUCAUUAUCUUGUUAGAACUAAAUCAACCUAAGUGUCCCCUCUACUUUAUUUUAGUUCUUGAGACACAUUGUUAGUCUUUUAGGGUUAGGACACCACUUCUUCCAUACAGAUAUUGUCAUCUGGCUUUUUGUUUCCCUUGUAUUCACAUCAUAUAAGGCAGUGCAGAUAUUCUCCCUUCCCCCUUCACACCAGCUUUGUUUAAACAAAACUACAAAGCGAUUGAUGAUGCAUGUUCUCAAGGGCCCAAUAACCUUUGUAUAUACCAAGCAGCGUGCCACUUUUAUAAUGGUAGCUAGCAAGCUAAUACACCUCCAAAUUGUAUUAUUUAUGUUCCUAGUAAUCUAAUGGUUGGUUAGCAAUUUCUCUUGCUGUUUAGUUGCUCUUGCACAGUCUUGUAGUUUCUAGUUAUGUAACAAAUCUCAUUUUGUGACUAUGUGAAUUUAACAGUUGUCAUUGUCAACAGAGGUUGUGUGUGUGGGGUUUUUUUGGCAAGCUGGCAUUACUCAUCAGUCUCAUGGCAGUUUUGUUUGAAAAAUGCCUGUGUUAGAAAAAGUGGAUUUAUCAGCUCAGCACUGUAUGGUGCUAGCAUGCAGCACAACAAAAGACAAGUACUCAUUUCAGUAGUGCUUGCAGCAUUUCAUGGGGCCCCCAAAUAGGCUGAACAAGGCUUCUCUGGCAACGAAAACCAAAUACAGUGGGAAACUGUUAAAGUGGUAGUGUUGCUUCCUGGCAAAUUUGAUUCUAGUUCCUUUCUUAAUUUGCUGCUGCUUUACGUUUUGAAAAAGAUUGUUUUAUUAAGAAAUUCACUGCCUAGAAAAAAAAGAGACGCAACUGAAAACGUGACUUUUCUUUUCAUCUCUUGAUGCCCAAAUUAAACGAUGAAACUGUCCUUUGGAGAGUGGUUCUGUCAUACAAGAAAUAAUACAAUACUCGCUCUUCUUUUAAAUAGUAUUGUUUCAAGUGAAUUAUAGUGCAGUAUUUCAAGGAGAUCCUAUUUCUUUGUAGAUUUUAAACUGUUCAUUAUCAAAAAUGAUCUGUUGUGGCUGCAUUUUCUUUUGCAGCUGGCAGUUUAGAUUAUGAAGACAGUGGAUAAGAAUCCUAGUAAACUCUGAUCUCAUAACUGAAAGUGUCACCGGUGGGUCAAACUAAAGAAACAUUCUCUUAUCUUACAAAUAACUUGGAUUAUUAAAAUGUAGUAUUACUUUUAAAAAUAUUUAUUGCAAAUAUUUUAAAAAUAUUUACUUUUAAAUAUUUAAAUAAAUAUAGUAUUACUUUUAAAAAUAUUUAUUAUUGUAAAUAUUUUAAAAAUAUUUACUUUUUGCAUUGCUCUCUAUUUGGGCACUGGAAAUAGUCUAGUGAAUUUCAGUUUUUUAUCAUGAUAUUUUAGUCAAUUUCUUUUUCAGGUUCUCAUGCACAAGCACAGUGCUACAGGAUCUGCGUUACAAACACUAAAGUGGAAUGUUUGCUUCAGAAAACAGUUUCCAUUGGAUUUAAAAGAGAAAUAACUGCACUUAAUCUUACAUUUUGCAAAAGCUUCAGUUUUACAAAAUGCAAGUUCUGGACUAGCUUUGAUCUUCCAUUGUCCCUUAUAUAUAGAAGCACAAUCAAUUUACUACUCUAUCUAUACUUCAGGUACUCAGGUAGAAGUCAGAGUGGCAAAAACAGGAAUCGUUUUAGGGGCUUAGGAAUCGUGAUAAAAAUAUUCAUUUUUGAAAAAAUGGCACCUAAUUUACCCCCAUCAAAAUAUGAACAUUUCACCUUAACUCUGAUCCAGAUAUGUGCACACACAUGCUCACCAACGCACACACUGUUUUGAAUGCACAAUAGAUAAAUGCAUACACAGAUGUCGUUCUACAAAUAAUUACUUAUUCUGUGUACAUAAGCAUGCUUGGAUGUGUAAUUGUCUGUGUGCGUUCCUACACACUGGGGCAAGUUAUGGCUGCCCCUGUGUGGGUGUGCUGGGAGCACAGAGGUGCAGUCGGGAGAUCCCCAUCUUAUCCUCCGGCAUGCUCAUGAAAGAAGCAGCCAUCAUGUAACUUUCCACUUCCUGAGUUCAUAGGGUUUGCUGUUGAGCAGCACUCACAGCAGGUGACACCUCAAACAGCAGGUUGAGGGUUGGGCCAUGCAUACAUAUUAGCACAGCGAGGGUAACACAGAGGGAGAGCUGCAGUAUAUCCUUUCCAUCGGUUUGGGAUGGUGUCCCCCCAACAUACAAUACUUUCGCUUCCUGAUUUCCCUGCAGCAGGACACUGGCACAAAUGAGGUACCCAUUUUAAAAACGUUGGUUAACAAGGUUUCUGUGCGGUAAAGAGCUGGCUAGUGCAGUCUCAAAGGAACUCAGGGUCAGGAAUACAUACAGCACUGUACAGAGAUGACCUGUGCCUGCUGAUGGUGUGGGGGCCAGCGUGAGGGCAACUACCUUCAGCAGUGUUACUGAGCAUGCCCAGUCUGUGUGCGCCUGCUCAGUACAAGCCAAGCAGCAAAUCUGUGGGGGGGAUGUGACCCUACAUCCCCCCCCUCCACACACACACCUGUUGCCUCAGAGUCAGGUGUUUGCAUUUCUACAAGGAACACAGGAAGCAGGAUUCUUGAAGACAAUAUCCUAAGUGGCUUAUGAGCCGAUAGGAGACCCUUGAUCAUCAGUCAUAUUGGGGAUACCGUAUUAGCGUGACAAAGUUGCAUUUUGCGGACGUACACACUAUUGUUUCCCUGUAACGAUAUAUUGCAACAACGAUGUUUACAUCCUUCUCUGGCUAAAAGUGGGAUUUGGCAGAACCCUCUAAUGAUGAUUUAGCAUAUGAGCGCAGACCUAGGAAUCAGAUCUCCUGAGUUCUAAUCCUAUACUUGACCCACUCUUUGCCCUUGCUGCACUGACCUUCACUGCCUCCUUCUGUAAAACAGGGAUAAUAAUGCUCACCUACUACACCAGGUUGUUAUGAUGAUUAGUUAAUAAUUGGAAAUCACUUUACAAUAAUACUUUUAAUUCUAAGGCAUCCCUGCCCCAUGUCAAAGCUCUCAGAGCAAGGCACAGCAGACUAAUAUAAUAUCAGAGAGAAGUCAAAAGACCACUCUGUAAGAAUAUAAAAACAGGAAGGGCUGAAAUGGGGGUAAAGACAGGGUAAAGGGGUGGGAAUGGCUAUUAAUAUAAAUGUGAUUGGAAGAUAAUGAAAUGGAGAUGGCAACAGCAUGGCAAAGUUGUGAUCCUUGCCUGACUUAAAUAAUGGUGGGAAGUAAAAGCAAUUGCGUCUGAGCACAGAUUUCCUUAAGCCUUGGCCUGGUGGGUGAGGUCUUGAACAUAGCCAGGGCCUGAUCCAUUAAGGGCUUUAAAAAGCAAACCACCCCCACCCCUUUGACAGGCAGCCUCAGUGAGCAUAAGAUGAUCAUGGUUGCUUUAGCCGGGCUGUAGCUGAACAAGUUACACUGAAGAAGCCCUACUAGGAGGGAAUUACAACAAUUGAGCUUCGGGACCUGAAGGACGUGUUGCUUUUGAAGGAGCAUAUUUGAAAAGGCACAGCACCAUGUAAGUGCUAGUUGUUCUUAUUACAUCCGUGCUCUACCCCUACACAUCUAGAAAGAUUUGGGUUUAGGAAUAAUUUUACUUUUUUUUUUAGUCUGGCUAUAUGGUUGAGUUAGACUGGGACAGAUCCAUUUAGCUUAACUGGAGCUUUGCAGGGGUUCUUUGGGAUGGAGGAGACUGUCAUAUGUCUCUUCAAAGCUCUGCUGGUCAAACCAUUCAUAGAAUCAUAGAAUAUCUCAGGAUUGGAAGGGACCUCAGGAGGUCAUCUAGUCCAACCCCUUGCUCAAAGCAGGACCAGUCCCCAAUUUUUGGCCCCAAUCCCUAAAUGGCCCCCUCAAGGAUUGAGCUCACAUCCCUGGGUUUAGCAGGCCAAUGCUCAAACCACUGAGCUAUCCCUCCCCUCAUUCAGUAAUAUUGUUGGCAGCAAAGCAAGUUGUUUGCUUGCCUUUCCAUUCAAUUGUGAGCUAUGUAAGUGGGGUGCUUAACCAGCUAGAACAUGUGGCUUUUGGGGGCACAGCCACUUUCUUCUCCAGUUUUGGCAAGCCUCACAAAUGUGAACUUACCGACUCUAAAUAUGGCUAUUUCCCCCAGCUCUACUCUUACCGUACUCUUGUGGCCACCUGCACGACGCUUCCGAGAAUCAUUUUAGCCUCACCUCAUUAUUACACCUGCAGCGAUCAACUCACUUGCGGGGUCCCAGAGCCCAGGUGCCAGCCCAGGCCUGGACAUCUACAGUGCAAUGUUAUAGCUCUUCAGCCCAAACCCUGCAAGCCCAAGUCCACUCUCGUGGGCCAGCUGCAGGAAUGUUACUGCAGUGUAGACAUACCCUUAAGGGCCCAGUCCAGCAAACACUUACUGCUGGGCAUGGUGCCCACUACCACGGCACAGGACUGAGGAAUGGUAGUUUGUGCCUCCCCUCAUCAGGAGCUAGAGAGGCCAGUUUGGCCCUCAGCACAUGUUAAGGCAGCCCUAAGUCACACCUUCGCUAUGAUGACCAUUACGGGCCACUGUAGGGGGUAUAGAGUUUCUGAAGUACAGGUCCACCCUGGCCAUGCCAUCCAUCCACCUCCAUACUGCCCAGGGUUCCUAUAGAUGCAAUGCAGAACUGGGGGUGACAGCUCUGCACCAGGCAUAGGCUUCCUAUACUGGGUGUGUGUGGGGGGGUGUUAGUAAGUUAUGCCUGCUCUUUGGUCCUUUUGUGCCAGGCUAGCGCAAAGGGGCUGCAACACCAAUACUGACUCAGCUCCUAUGCCUGGCAGUAAAUGUUUUCAGGAUCAGGCCCUUAAAUCCUACUCCACUGUAGAAUCCCUUAGAUGUGUGCAGAUUACCUUACACCCAGGCCGCAGCAAUCCAGCUCUCCACCAGCUUGCUCCUGCGGCAGAGUGGCGAAUCAUUUCAAUUUCCACUCUGCCGUGUGUCCCCGCUCACUCUCACUCGUUCCUCAUGAGUUAUGAUAACAUAUAAGCAGCUUACAGAAUUCUUAUCAGAAUCAGUAGAACACAAUGCAACACUUAACUCUUAAUGACAGCCACCUCUGACUGUGAAUGACAUGUCAUAAAUUAUGUUUGAACUAGAUUUUUCAGUGGCAGAUAUUCACCGUGCCACCCAGUCAGCCCUAUAAAGUUGCACUUGUGGCCUUAAUCCCACUUGGAUGAGUGCCCUGCUUUCUCCACUUUCCAUCACUCGGGUACUUCAGUAUUUUUGAACAAGUGAACAAUCUUUGUUUCUGUACCUUAUUAGGCCAAAGACCAUAGCAGCGAGCGAUGGCAUCAGCAGGCCCUGCAGGCAGGAUUCUCUGCAGACCCAGCCAACCUCCAACAAACCCCUUUUUAUCCUCCUGUUUCUAGGAAGAAUUAUGAUGGCGGAGCCCUGCUGUUGAUCAGUCAAAUCUGUGGUAGGCCUAGAGAUAAGUCCUGUAAGCGUGGUGUACUGUAAAACAGCGGCUCCCAUUCAUUAGUAGCUUGUGUGUAAUAAACCACCAAAAAGGGGGGGAGGGGGAGAGCAGCUGCAGUGUGCAGGAGCAAACAACACAAUUCAUUCUUAGGAGCCAAAACUUUCCAAUUUGCUGCUGGGCAGCCAGGCACAUUGAAAUUCUUUCUGAUAAUACACUACUGCCCUCAGUGUCUGCUUCUUGAUUUUUCCCUAGUUUUGCUUUCUGGAGGUUCUGAGGUCUGGGACAGUUUCACUUUGAACCAAAAAUGUAGACACUAGCUGAAUAGGGAAAGAAAAGCAGCCACUCAGCGACUGUAGACUCCAGCAUAAGAAUGUGGUGGGUUUUGAAAGAAGUUGGCCUGCUGUGGAAUGGCCGUUACACAUAUCUAAAGGAGCAGCGGGUAAACAAAGUGUCACAUGGACUGCAAGGAGACAGAGAAAUGUAAUGGAGCUAUACUUUACUUAAACAUGAGGGGUAAGAGAAUAGCAUAUUUGUGAGCGUUCAAAAGGAUGUUUAUGGAUGUACAGCUGGCUAGAAGAUUUAAAAAGUGUUUUAUUAGUAAAAAAAAAAAAAAACCUGCCCAAAACAGAAAAAAUUAUGGCAAAGUUAUUUGGAUUUUUUCUUCUAUUUUUAAUCUCUAAUAAAUAUCUAAUUUCAUCAUUAUCUUCCCUUUUAAAAAUGUAUAUACGCACACGUUUAAGAUGGGUCUAAUAAGUGGAAUUUAUAGCACUGCAUAUAUUAGGAGCUGGCCAAUUAGUGGAGAAAAUAUACUCAUGACUAUUUUGGCGUAUUAGUCGCUGUAUUUGGAUUUGCCAUGUUCACCCCCUUGAUGUGUUUGCUUUUGAUCACGGAAAAUGAAUUUCAGGCCUGGAACAAAAAUGAUUGUUACUUAUUUGUAUUGUGGAGCCCCAGUCAUGGAUCCAGACCCUGUUAUGCCAAGUGCUGUUGUGUUCUGACUAAAUGAAAUUCAUUUUGGACAAAAACGUGUCCCAAUCAACUAGCCACCAAAGGACUGCUGGAUCUCUCUAGGAAACCACCAAGAUCUGCCUCUAGUGGAAGUGCCAGGUUGUGACAAUGGUGCCCAUGGUAGGACUGGCACCUGCAUAGAUCCUAAAAAGUAUCUUUUUAGCACUGAGGCCCAUUUCUUUCUUCUCUGCUAUCAGCACCAAUGACCGGUAAAGGAAUAGAAUUACAUUAAUUUUGUGCUUACUGAGCACAGAGGAAGAGAAUUGCUGAAAUAUUCCCAGGACUUCUGGCUAGAGUCCUGUCAAGGGGGGCAUUUCUGGGCAUCUGACUGCUCUCUUCCCAACUAGAACCGCAAACGUAUGCAUACAUGCUGUAAUGACUGUGUCUAUAUCAAUGCAAAUGUGCUGUCUGCGUAACCGAGGUGAAUGAUAACGGAUGACAGAAAACUGGACAUUCCAAAAGCGUUCAUAUAUUUCACAUGAAAUAAUGUUGUAACAUUGGACACUAAUUAACACAAACAAAUCACUCCACUGACGGACUUAGUCCACUGGCCAGAGCCCUGACCCGAGGCUGCAAGCACACAUCCAUACCACAAUUACUAAUUUGUUAGUGACAAUGAUGGUGACAAAUGGUUCUUGGUUACCAAAUAUCUGAGCCCAGUAAAUUGACUGAAUACUCUAGAUAGAUAUGACACCAUGGGAGGGACCAUGUUCCCUCAAACCUAGAUGAGAGUCCAGGCGCACACACUGUUAAAUAAGUCAGACAAAGUUAUGUGGCCACUCGCCUUGCAGUUGGAACUACAAAAUAACCCCCUGACCACAGUACUGGAACAGGGGGCAAUUAAAUAAGAUAGCAAAGGCUCCCCCAAUGCUGGAAAGUAAAGGAAGUAAAUAAUAAUAAUUUGCUUAAACAAUAAACACUCAAAUCUUAAGAGACAUUCAACAUCUAAAAUUCUCGUGGAAACUAUUUACUGUGUUAGUAGUUUUAAAGCACUGUGUUAGCAGGGCAGUGUUUCAACUAAUAGUUGAUUACAGUAAACUUUAAGGACCUGAUUCUCCUCUUACACUUAUUUUACCCCAGUAAAGCUGCUGACUUCAUUGGGAUACUCCUGAUUUAUACCAGUGAAAGUGAGAGGAGAAUCAGGGUCUGAAGAUAUUUUUAACCCUUGGCUGGCAUUCCAUCUCAGAUUGAAUCAUUAACAAUGACUCUUAACGGAUGAUCUAAUUGAGUGUUUCGUGCCAACAAAAUAAAUCUCUUCUGUAAUCUUUUUUAAAGUAAAGAAAUUCAGAUGUGAGACAUGAAAGGCAAAAUAAUGUGGACGCUGAUAAUCAGAAUUUUUAAAAUGGGCAGAAAGAUUAUCAGAGGGUUAUAUUUUCUUUUUGUCAAUCAAUUACAAACUAUCCGAUGGAAAACGUUAUGAAUAGUAAAUCACAUUCUCUUUUGUCCUCUCUUAAAUGUAGGAAGUAAUUUGACAACAGAAGCAACGCAAUACAUGUGUGUGGACUAUAGCUGGUGUCUGCACUUUCAGAUUAAAGUUUUAAUAGUGGAUGGUUUAAUGUUAACACAAACUCUACAUGUAUAAUGGGGAUGUAUUUAUUUUUUUUAGCAUGGCCUGUUGCUUAUUUCAUGAAUCCCUCUUUCACCGCCUGAGCAAGUGUGAGGCAUUGUGCUGUCAGCACUGUCCUUAUUCCCUGAAGCCCCCCACUGUCUGUCACUAUAGGGAUGGAAUAUUGUAAAUUCCAGGAGCUAUUUUCUCACUGCCAACCUGGGGCCAAGCUGACCUUAGUGGGAGCUGGGGUGACAUUCAGGAUCGGGCUCUUUGUAUCAGGAGGGGUCAGAUGCAUUAGAGUGGAAGGCAUUCCAAUGGUUCUGAAAUUCCUGCAGGUGCUUAAAAUGCAAAGGGUCCUUUCACAGCUUCACAUCUGCCUCUGUCAUGUGCAUUUGAGCAUGUGACCAUAGGGUUUGUUUGUUUGGCUGACUGACAUGUAGUGACCAGAACUGCUGAUAGAAGGUCUCCAACAAAAUAGUUUUGCUGGUCAGAGUUCACUGGAAUAUAACCAAUCUGUACUGCUUGUGACAUUUCUCUGGCCUCUGGAAAAUAGUGCGUAAUGAUAAUAAGGUUGCUUAUAAAUGUGUAUUUAAUUUGCUUUCAAACUUGACAAGCUCUUUGUAGAAGAAAACAUUGACGGUGUGCAAAUGACACAUUUGACUCACCAGAUAGUCACAACUGCCCAAAACUGGGACUCCAGUCUUCCAGCUCUUAUUCCAUGGGACAAUUGGGCUACGUAAGGAUUACUCACAUGAGUGAGGGUGAGCAGGAUCGCACCCUGUGUUUGUAAUCCUGAUAAUGUCUUUUAAAUAUCAGAAAGAAAAUUGUCAGAACUUCCACCAAUCUGAAUAUUAGGGCAUAAUGGAAAAAAAAGAAAGACAAAAGAGCCCCACACUUGUUACCUAGUGGUGAUCAAACUAAUAAUUGAAAAUAAUGAAGAAUGGUACAAAAAGAUCUUUCAUUCCCAUUUGCCUCAUUUUGCCUUCUGUGCAAAUUACAAGACUAUUAUAUUCAGAAAAGUGCAACUUUUCCGAAUUUCUACAGUCAUACAUUCCAAUCCUAUUCUAAGCGAAUCAACAACUUUAUAAACUGCGUUUGACACGGCUGCUACUCUGAAACUUGACUUUUUAAAGCGUCUGUACUUUUUCUGAUCUCGUUUUAUUUGUAAAUCUGUAUCUUCUCUGUUUUCAUGUUGUAAAGGACUAAAGAAAGAUACUCUCAGAAUAACUGUGGCAUUUGUCCUUGCUGAGGUGUUCUCAAAAAUGGAUCAAAUAAUAUUAAAAAGAUUUUCUUUUAUUAGUC